rnacentral:rRNA from 1 species
CCUACGGGAGGCAGCAGUGGGGAAUAUUGCACAAUGGGGGAAACCCUGAUGCAGCGACGCCGCGUGAGUGAGGAAGUAUUUCGGUAUGUAAAGCUCUAUCAGCAGGGAAGAAAAUGACGGUACCUGACUAAGAAGCCCCGGCUAACUACGUGCCAGCAGCCGCGGUAAUACGUAGGGGGCAAGCGUUAUCCGGAUUUACUGGGUGUAAAGGGAGCGUAGACGGCUAAUCAAGUCAGAAGUGAAAUCCCGGGGCUUAACCCCGGAACUGCUUUGGAAACUGUGCGGCUGGAGUGCAGGAGGGGUAAGCGGAAUUCCUAGUGUAGCGGUGAAAUGCGUAGAUAUUAGGAGGAACAUCAGGGGCGAAGGCGACUUACUGGACUGUAACGGACACUGAGGCACGAAAGCGUGGGGAGCAAACAGGAUUAGAUACCCUGGUAGUC